AACGUAGGGUGCAAGCGUUGUCCAGAAUUACUGGGUGUAAAGGGAGCGCAGGCGGACCGGCAAGUUGGAAGUGAAAACUAUGGGCUCAACCCAUAAAUUGCUUUCAAAACUGCUGGCCUUGAGUAGUGCAGAGGUAGGUGGAAUUCCCGGUGUAGCGGUGGAAUGCGUAGAUAUCGGGAGGAACACCAGUGGCGAAGGCGACCUACUGGGCACCAACUGACGCUGAGGCUCGAAAGCAUGGGUAGCAAACAGG
rnacentral:rRNA from 1 species